ACAACUACGCUAGCAUAACCACAACAUCACCCACCCAAACAAAACAUUCUUCUAUUUUAGUAUAGGCGAUAGAAAAAUUACAUCCACAAGCAAUAGACAAAGUACCGCAAGGGAAUGCUGAAAAAGAAGUGAAACAAACCAUUAAAGUACUAAAAAGCAAAGAUUAACCCCUGUACCUUUUGCAUUAUGGUCUAGCCAGUCCACACGAGAUAAAAAGACCUUUUAACCCCUACCCCCGAAACUAGACGAGCUAUUUAAAAGCAGCUACAUCUCAGAGCUCACCCUUCUCUGUUGCAAAAGAGUGGGAUGACUUUUAAAUAGCGGCGACAUACCUACCGAGCCUAGUGAUAGCUGGUUGCUCAACAAACGAGUUUCAGCUCCCCAUUAAGUCUUAUUUUAAUUCGAAACAAUAACAAUUAAAACUUAAUAGAAAUUCAAAAGGGGUACAGCCCUUUUGAAAAAGGACACAACCUACAACAACGGGUAAUGAUUACACUAAACCAGGACAAACCACACAGUGGGCCUAAAAGCAGCCAUCUACAAAGAAAGCGUCACAGCUCAGAGCAAUCACAGUCCAACAAUACCAAUAACCCCUCAAAACCCUAAACUUCCCAAAUGAGCCCCACUAUAAAGCUAUAGCUGAACUAAUGCUAGAACUAGUAAUAAGAAACUACAACUUUCUCUACCACACCAGUGUAAGUCAGCACGAACCCAUCACUGAUAAUUACCCACCAUAGCAGACCACUACAAUUAACCAGACACACAGCCAAACCAACCGUUAACCCAACACAGGACUGUAAUAAGAAAGACAAAAAGGUAAAAAAGGAACUCGGCAAACCAUUCCUAGCUUCGCCUGUUUACCAAAAACAUCACCUCUAGCUAAACAACAUGUAUUAGAGGCACUGCCUGCCCACUGAUAUUCUAUUUUAACGGCCGCGGUAUUCUGACCGCGCAAAGGUAGCAUAAUCACUUGUCUUUUAAAUAAGGACUAGUAUGAACGGCAAGACGAAAGCUUAACUGUCUCCUUUACCCAGUCAAUGAAACUGAUCCCCCAGUACAAAAGCUGGAAUUUAAUAAUAAGACGAGAAGACCCUAUGGAACUUUAAGCACGCACCAACCAAUGUUUAACCACAAAAGGCUUGACACGCUGCUUUUGGUUGGGGCAACCACGGAGAAAAACCAUCCUCCAAGAAAUCAAACCAAGUGACACAAAACAAAGUUUUAUCACCUUCCCCAUCGACCCAGUACAACUGAUCAACGAACCAAGCUACCCUAGGGAUAACAGCGCUAUCUUCUUCAAGAGUCCAUAUCGACAAGAAAGUUUACGACCUCGAUGUUGGAUCAGGGUAUCCAAACAGUGCAGCCGCUGUUAAAGGUUUGUUUGUUCAACAAUUAAAACCCUACGUGAUCUGAGUUCAGACCGGAGUAAUCCAGGUCAGUUUCUAUCUAUUUUACAUCUUUCUCAGUACGAAAGGACCAGAAAGACAGGACCAAUAUUAAGUACACGUCCUCUAGCAAACUAUGAAAUCAAAUAAAUAACAAAUACUAAACUACCUCUAAAACAGAGGACCGA
rnacentral:rRNA from 1 species